rnacentral:rRNA from 1 species
AGCAGCCGCGGUAAUUCCAGCUCCAAUAGCGUAUAUUAAAGUUGUUGCAGUUAAAAAGCUCGUAGUUGAAUUUCGAGACCGGCUUAUUGGUCGUGCUUUUGUACGUACUGGUAUAAUCGGUUUCUCCUUUCUGACGAACUAUAAUGCCAUUAAUUUGGUGUUAUAGGGAAUCAGGACUGUUACUUUGAAAAAAUUAGAGUGUUUAAAGCAGGCUCACGCUUGAAUACAUUAGCAUGGAAUAACGGAAUAGGACGUUUGAUUCUAUUUUGUUGGUUUCUAGGAUCGACGUAAUGAUUAAUAGGGAUAGUUGGGGGCAUUAGUAUUCAAUUGUCAGAGGUGAAAUUCUUGGAUUUAUUGAAGACUAACUACUGCGAAAGCAUUUGCCAAGGAUGUUUUCAUUAAUCAAGAACGAAAGUUAGGGGAUCGAAGACGAUCAGAUACCGUCGUAGU